CAACUUGCUUCCAAGGUUUAAAGCUGGUAGUAGCCAUGGAAUCCCCAACUGUAUACAAGAUGAACCUGGAGAGAUUUGGAUAGCACAGGUCAGCAUAAUACCUAUAGCUGUCACUCUCCUUUCUAUAUUU
ensembl:snoRNA